CCCUUAGAGUUUGAUCCUGGCUCAGGACGAACGCUGGCGGCGUGCUUAACACAUGCAAGUCGUAGGCACCCAGCAAUGGGUGACUGGCGAACGGGUGCGUAACACGUGAGCGACCUGCCGAUCAGAGGGGGAUAGCCGGCCCAACGGCCGGGUAAUACCGCAUAUUCUCACGGAACUGCAUGGUUUUGUGAGGAAACCUCCGGGGCUGAUCGAGGGGCUCGCGGCCUAUCAGCUAGUUGGCGGGGUAAUGGCCCACCAAGGCGACGACGGGUAGCUGGUCUGAGAGGAUGGCCAGCCACAUUGGGACUGAGAGACGGCCCAGACUCCUACGGGAGGCAGCAGUGGGGAAUAUUGCGCAAUGGCCGAAAGGCUGACGCAGCGACGCCGCGUGUGGGAUGAAGCUCUUCGGGGUGUAAACCACUGUUGCCCGGGACGAACGGCGAGUUUUUACUCGAUUGACGGUACCGGGUGAGGAAGCGCCGGCUAACUCCGUGCCAGCAGCCGCGGUAAUACGGAGGGUGCGAGCGUUGUCCGGAAUCACUGGGCGUAAAGGGCGCGUAGGUGGCUUGGCAAGCGUGUGGUGAAAGCCCGGGGCUUAACCCCGGGUCUGCCGUGCGAACUAUCAUAGCUAGAGUACUGUAGAGGCAGUUGAAUUCCGGGUGUAGCGGUGGAAUGCGUAGAGAUCC
rnacentral:rRNA from 1 species